GAUGAAGAACGCAGCGAAAUGCGAUAAGUAAUGUGAAUUGCAGAAUUCAGUGAAUCAUCGAAUCUUUGAACGCACAUUGCGCCCGCCAGUAUUCUGGCGAGCAUGCCUGUUCGAGCGUCAUUUCAACCAUCAAGCCCCAGGCUUGUGUUGGAGCCCUGCGGCUGCCGCAGCCUCCCAAAACCAGUGGCGGGCUCGCUAUCACACCGAGUGCAGUAGUUUACUCUUCGCUCAGGGCGUGUGGCGGGUGCUAGCCGUGAAACCCCCAACUUCUCAAGGUUGACCUCGGAUCAGGUAGGAAUACCCGCUCAACUUAAGCAUAUCAAUAAGCGGAGGA
rnacentral:misc_RNA from 1 species